AGAGUUUGAUCCUGGCUCAGGAUCAACGCUGGCGGCGUGCGUAACACAUGCAAGUUGAGCGACGGAAGUUUGAACCAGCGAUGGGAAUGACCUUACGGAGCAGCGGACGGGUGAGUAAAAUAUGAGAAGCUGUCCUUCAGAGGGGGACAACAGCUGGAAACGGCUGCUAAUACCCCAUAGGCUGAAAAGUUAAAGCAGUAAUGCGCUGGAGGAGGUGCUCGUAACCUAUCAACUAGAUGGCGGGGUAACGGCCCACCAUGGUAACGACGGGUAGCCGGCCUGAGAGGGUGUCCGGCCACACUGGGACUGAGAUACGGCCCAGACUCCUGCGGGAGGCAGCAGUGGGGAAUAUUGGGCAAUGGGAGAAAUCCUGACCCAGCGACGCCGCGUGAACGAAGAAGGCCUUCGGGUCGUAAAGUUCUUUUAUGUGAGAAGAAGGAUGUGACGGUAUCACAUGAAUAAGCCCCGGCUAACUACGUGCCAGCAGCCGCGGUAAUACGUAGGGGGCGAGCGUUGUCCGGAAUUACUGGGCGUAAAGGGCGCGCAGGCGGUUUAUCAAGUCAGCUGUUAAAUGGUACGGCUUAACUGUAUUAUGCAGUUGAAACUAGUAGACUGGAGUAAUGGAGAGGCAAGCGGAAUUCCCAGUGUAGCGGUGAAAUGCGUAGAUAUUGGGAAGAACAUCGGUGGCGAAGGCGGCUUGCUGGCCAUAAACUGACGCUGAGGCGCGAAAGCUAGGGUAGCAAACGGGAUUAGAUACCCCGGUAGUCCUAGCGGUAAACGAUGAAUGCCAGGUGUGCGAGUAGAGAUACUGGUGUGCCGCAGUAAACACGAUAAGCAUUCCGCCUGGGGAGUACGGUCGCAAGAUUGAAACUCAAAGGAAUUGACGGGGGCCCGCACAAGCGGUGGAGCACGUGGUUUAAUUCGAUGCAAACCGAAGUACCUUACCUGGGUUUGACAU
rnacentral:rRNA from 1 species